GGACUGCAGUCUGCAACUCGACUGCACGAAGCUGGAAUCGCUAGUAAUCGCGGAUCAGCACGCCGCGGUGAAUACGUUCCCGGGCCUUGUACACACCGCCCGUCACACCAUGGAAGUCUGCAAUGCCCGAAGCCGGUGGCCUAACCACUUAUGUGGAAGGAGCCGUCUAAGGCAGGGCAGAUGACUGGGGUGAAGUCGUAACAAGGUACC
rnacentral:rRNA from 1 species